CUUCCUUCCUUCCGUCCUUCCUCCUUCCCUCCUUCCUCCUUCCCCCCUCCCUCCCUCCCUUCUUCCUUCCUUCCUCCUUCCCUCCCUCCCUCCUUCCUUCUUCCUUCCUUCCUCCUUCCUCCCUCCUUCCUUCCCUCCCCCUUUCCCUCCCUCCCUCCUUCCUCCCUCCUUCCUUCCUUCCUUCCUCCUUCCUUCCCUCCCCCUUUCCCUCCCUCCCUCCUUCCUUCCUUCUCCUUCCUUCCUUCCUCCUUCCUUCUUCCUUCCUUCCUCCUUCCUCCCUCCCUCCUUCCCUCCUUCCCACCCUUCCUUCCUCCUUCCUUCCCUCCCCCUUUCCCUCCCUCCCUCCUUCCUCCCUUCUUCCUUCCUUCCUCCUUCCUCCCUCCCUCCUUCCUUCCUUCCUCCUUCCUUCUUCCUUCCUUCCUCCUUCCUCCCUCCUUCCCUCCUUCCCACCCUUCCUUCCUCCUUCCUUCCCUCCCCCUUUCCCUCCCUCCCUCCUUCCUCCCUUCUUCCUUCCUUCCUUCCUUCCUUCCUUCCUUCCUUCCUUCCUUCAUCUGCAUUUACUGAGCAAGUGCCCAUAUGAGGCCCUGGGGACACCAGGGAGCAGGAAGUUCCCGUCCCAAGACCUCCCACGAGAACACAACAAGAAAAUGGCGGUGGUGGGGGCAGGUGCAGAAUGCAGGGGGACCCUCGAGAGACUCAGGGGAGGUUUCCCAGGAGGGCUGGACGUGAAGGAUGAGGAAGGGCUUUCCAGGCAGAGGGAACGGCGCCUGCGAAGGCACAGUGGCAGGAAGCACCUGCCUGGGAACCGCUGGCAGACCUUCAUUGUGGGAAGGCAGGGUCUGGAGCAUCUUGGUUUAGGAGGUCGGCCAGCUGGGCUGGGGUCCCCUGACUCACUUCCUGGACCCUGUGCCUCUUUGACCUCCUUUGCUCCGGGCCCGUCUGGAUGAAAGUAGCACUGGCCUCCGUUGCACAAAGGGAGGCUUUGACGUUGGAGAAAGGGAGUGAGGAAGGAGGGGCGAGUGGUGUGUGUGUAUUUUUGGAUGCAGCUCAGGAAUCCACUCCUCAUUCUCCUCCUCCGACACCAUGGCAACCAGGCCUGCAGCUGGGGGGAGCUGCCUGAGAGGGAGGGAGAGAGAGAGAGAGGGAGAGAGAGAGCGAGAGAGCGAGCUAGCCGCUUAGCUGAGGGAGUGGGCUGGGGCACAGACCUCUGGC
rnacentral:lncRNA from 1 species